ACUCCAAUUUCAGUCUUUGAUUGGCCAUUCAAGAUUAUGUGCCUAACUCGUAUCUUUCAAUGCCUUCCAAGUUUUCUGCUUACGGUUGCCUGAUACUUGGCGUUAGAUUUUGUUGUUGUCUCUCAUGAAUUUUAAUUAUAGAGAAAUUAUGAUUUUGAAUUUUAAUUAUAGAGAAAUUAUGAUUUUGGUUGAAUCGAUGCAGAUUUUGUUUGUAUCUAUGAUAGAUCUUGCAUCCGAUAAACAAAUCAUUUUUGUUUCUAUAGGAGAUUCAACUUCAGUUGGGAGGGAAUAGAAACCUUCGGGAGAGAAUGGAAACCUCUCCCAGUAGGCUUGUUACCUCGGUUUGGGGAGGGUAUGGAAACCUCUCUCCAGUAGGCUCGUUGCCAAGAUUGGGGAGGGUCUGAAAACCUCUCCCCAGUAGGCUCGUUACCAAGGUUUGGGGAGGGUGUGUAAACCUCUCCCCAGUAGGCUCGUUACCAAGGUUUGGGGUGGGUAUGGAAACCUCUCCCCAGUAGGCUCGUUACCAAGGUUUGGGGUGGGUAUGGAAACCUCUCCCCAGUAGGCUCGUUACCAAGGUUUGGGGUGGGUAUGGAAACCUCUCCCCAGUAGGCUCGUUACCAAGGUUUGGGGUGGGUAUGGAAACCUCUCCCCAGUAGGCUCGUUACCAAGGUUUGGGGUGGGUAUGGAAACCUCUCCCCAGUAGGCUCGUUACCAAGGUUUGGGGUGGGUAUGGAAACCUCUCCCCAGUAGGCUCGUUACCAAGGUUUGGGGUGGGUAUGGAAACCUCUCCCCAGUAGGCUCGUUACCAAGGUUUGGGGUGGGUAUAGAAAUCAAUCCCCAGUAGGCUCGUUACCUCGGUUUGGGAUGGGUAUGGAAACCUCUCUCCAGUAGGCUUGUUACCUCAAUUUGGGGUGGAUAUGGAAAUCUCUCCCCAGUAGGCUCGUUACCUCGGUUUGGGGUGGGUAUGGAAACCUCUCUCCAGUAGGCUCGUUACCUCAGUUUGGGGUGGGUAUGGAAACCUCUCCCCAAUAGGCUCGUGACCUCGGUUUGAGGUCUGAAUUCUUACAAUCUUUACGUUGUAAGAGGCUAAAGUUGAUCAUAUCUGCGCGUGGUGGGCUUAGAUUCUUACCCUCCUUACCAGAGAAUAUAUGUUGUGCUUGUUGUAUUGAGUUGAUGAGCUUGCUGUAAGAGAAGUAAGGCAAAAUGAUGAAAACUUUGUCAUCUGAAACUGAUGUGGAGCUUUAUAUCAUUCUGGUCUUCAAAGUUCUCUGAUUGCUUAGCUGUUUUACUGGUUUCCAUCUUAUGGUGUUUCAAUUUGGUUUCCAUCUUAUGAAAUGAGAUUCUCUUACGUAAUCUUUCUUGUUUUGGGCUGGUGUUCAUUUGUCGUUGUAGUUCUUCUCGUGUGUAUGUUUGUGUAGGACUCAUGUAAUAUGUAAUAUAAAACAACAUAAAGAUGCCCAUUCUACUAUUAAUUGCACGACUCAACACACAUUUCUAGUACAAGACUUCAGACCUUAGGUGAUGGCUAAGCUCCAGCAAUAUGUGGUUACUCCCAUCUAUUGCGAAGCUGCCAUCUUUAUUACUACUACUAAAAUGAAAAUACUGACAGCUACAAUUUCAGAACAAGCUGAAGUUCCAAUGGUCUGAUGACACCACCCUCCUCCUUUGUUCCGGGCUUGGGACCGGCUGCGUAGAAGAAUUGAUGCUUGAUGCAUGACACAGGCAGAGUUAUCAUGUCAUUGUAAGUUGUAGACUAAGAGACUGUAAAAGAGGUUAAACUAAACACACAAACACACACACAAACCACACACACAAACCACACACACACACACACACACAUGGGCAUGGACUCAGUGCAUCUUCUGUCGAAAUCACAUGAAUGAGAUGAUAAAGGGUAGCAAGCAGGAGCAGCCACCUGCCAACCAACAGAUCCAAGCGUAGCUUUGAGGGACUAGUAGACCUCCUGAUAUUAUGCAGACGCCAAUUGCAAGAAAAAGAGUACCGAGUUUUUCCAAGAGAAGUGCAAAUCUUGGGAAUGCAUUCUUAAGGAAAACUCCAGCAUACGAAACUGCAAAGCUGAUCAACAUAACAGCAACAAAUAGACCUGUGGGAAGCGGAGAAGAUCGAGUGGGAGCACUGAUGGACAAAGGUAAAAUUGCCUGAAAAGCGAGAACAAGGUUUAUCUUCCCAAGAUUCUGAGGGCUGUUGGCUGGUUGAGGCCUAGGGCUAUGCAUUUUGAUGUUAAUUGACUGGAAUUCUAAUGGCGUGGAUAAUCCCCAUCCCCAGGUAAGACUACUCAUAUCCAGGGAGGUUUCUUGUUGUGUGGCUGAAUCCAUUGGGGGGAAACAAUAAGGAUUUGGUCAAUGUUCUUCAAGUGGUUUCCCUAAGUUCCAUUCAAUCUGGGAGUUCCCUUUUUAUAUACGCUGCAUGGAGAAUUCUGGAAUAUAGGGGGGAAGUUUCACUGAUUCUCCUACAAGUUUUAUUCUUAAAAAAAAAGAAAGUUGAUUUUGUGGAAAUUUUUAUCAAUUGGUGUGGAAAUGCUUUUAAAGUUUAGUUAUCUAUAUAAAUAUAUAUUGGUUUAAAAAGGA